GGCGGCAGGGCCUGGCGCGGGGAGCCGCUCGCCCACCGGCGGCCGGGGCGGUGACUGUCCUCUGCGCGCUGGCCGAGCAGCCCGCUCGGUCCGGUCCCCGCGCGGCUCCCGACUUCAUGUGAAAUGUAUGGAAAAGUGGCAGUGCUUCAAACAUAGCAAAGGAACUGGAUCAGUAGCAGUGAAGCUUUCAGCAAGUGAUAAAAGUGCCAAUGAGAGAAACUGGGAUUACCUUACUAAGGUUUGUGAUAUUGUCAAAUUACUUUCGAAACUUGGUUUACCAUUUCAAGGUCACAAUAAGGGAAAGGAAUCUAAAUUGAAAGAGAAUUUCCAUGAAUGUUGUGAUUUCUUUUCAAAGUAUGAUGAAACUUUCAAGAAACUGCAGGCAAGUUAAUUUAAUUACACAAGCCCUGAAUUUCAAAAUAAAGUACUGCAGAUUUGGUUUGCAAAUAAAUUAUACAGGUAGUGAAUAAGACCUUUUUUUUUUUUUUUUUUUUGUAAUUGUACAUUAGGCCAGGUCAUUUAAGACAGAGCAGCUUCCAGUUCAUAUCAGAUACUCAGAAACUCCAGAGAUUAAAGAAAGUUUCUUGUGCUUAAUCAAUUACUUGUCUUCCUGAAAUGCAAAUAUCAUUCAUAUUGCCAUAAAGACAGCUUUGAAGUGGAUUACAGAAUGUGCCGAUAGUAGUUCAAUCUUAUGAUGGUGCUUCUGUGAUGUCAGGACACAUUGCUGGGGUUCAGCAGUGAAUGAAGAAAGACCAUCUGAUUGCAUGGCACACAAAUUCAACCUCGUCCUCAUGGUGUACUAUAAAGUAAAUUGUAGUGCUGUGGUCUUUCUAAAUGUACUUGAGAAAUUGUGUUCAGUGUUUGUGGAGCCAGCCAACCAUCAGAUGUUUCUUGACAUGCAGACAGCUUUGGGUCUCAAGCAUCAAGAGAUAGUGCAGCUCACUGAUAUGCACUGGGCAUGUAAGUGGAGAAGUGUGUUUGCAGUAAAAACACAGUACACUGCCAUCAUGCGGGUGUCUAAAAGAUCUGAGUGAACAAGGCGAAAAGUGGUCUGUGGAGGCAAAUGGCCUUUAUUAUCACAUAAAGUUUCAUUCAUUGCAUGCUUAAUUAUCUUUCAACAUUUUAUGAAAGUUGUUCAUUUUGCUCACAAAGGACUUCAAGGCAUCGAUACCACACUUUCAAGAGCUUCCCUAUCAUAGAGAAAACGAAAACUACUUUGAGAAAUGCAGAAGUGAAGAAGGCUGGAAUGAUAUGUGGAAAAAAAUAACAGAGUUCUGUCAAGACCAUAACAUUGCAGUGUCAGAUGAAGACUCACUUCAUUCACCAAAAAGAAAAAAAGCAGUAAAAGCCUUGCAGCUCUUAUGGACUUCAGUGUCCCAAUAACUUUGGGUCAAAGAAAGUGUGUAGAAGAGGCAACAAAUGUAUCGGAAACCACCAAGACUGUAACUGUAUCUGAAAAAAAGCAGGUGGCAUCAGCAGUUGAACCUUCCUGUUUUGGAUGGCAUAAUUGCAGAGUUAGAGAGACGAUUCUCAAAAGAAUCAAUGGAAAUUGCUGAAGCAUGUGGCUCACUCAUAAGUUUUGAUAGAACUGGCAUUCAUCCAUUCUUGCAGAAAUAUGCAUACCUACUCAACGUAAAUCCUCACCUUGCAGCUGGAGAAAUGGACAUUUUUACCAGUACGGAAUCUCCUGUUACUUUUCAAAUACUUCAAGAAGAAAUGUCUCAGAUUAUGUACCAAAACUGUUACAAACUCAUUCAGUUAGCUCUCACGUUGCCAGUCAGGAUGGCCACAUUGGAACAAAGCUUUUCUGCAAUGAGAUAGAUUAGAAACUGGUUGUAUUCAACCACGGGAGAAGAAAGAUUUUCUUCACUUAGAAGCUGAUUUAACUGCAAAGCUGAUUCCAGAGAACAUUGUGGACAUUUACGCUAACCGAAGGGAAAGACGAUUGCAUCUACAUUAAGGUAAAUACAGUAUUUCUAUAUUAAGACACUGUUUAUGUAGCCCUAAAAGGUAAAUAUAGUAUUUCUAUAUUAAGACAAUGUUUAUUUAGCUCUAAAACCAGAGAGAUGUGAUUCAUAGUUACAUGAAAGUGCUCUGUUCUGUUUAUUCAAGAAUUUGUUUUUAUGCUAAUGUUGAUUUUUAAGUGGUAGCUGGUAAAGAUGUCAAAUAAUUAAGUUAAAAUAAAAAAUUAAGGGUGAUGAACUUAAACUCUAUUUGUGAUUUCAAGUACAUUGUAAUUUCAGUACCACUAACAGUUUGUAAAUCCAGAAGUUAGACCUAUACCUAUUAUUAAUAGUAUUAAGACCCUCUAGUCCCCCAAAUAUAGAAAUCAAACUAUACCUAUAGGGAAUAGGUACACCAGCUGAUUUCUUUGCAACUAACUCCAAAUGCUGAUAUCACAACACAUACAUCGGAGGAAGGGGUUACCUUGACAUCAUCACUGAAACAGAUGUAGCUCUUUUUGGCCUCUCAGCUUUUUUACAUAAUAGGCAUAUUUAUAUCUAAUAUACAGUUUAAAUUAGCUAGUGUGAUAGUCACUUGUUUUAUUUGCAACAUAAAGGAACACUCUUAAUUUAAAAAUCACAUUUCUGUCUGAAAAAAUAUUUUUAUACUGAGACAUCCUGUACCCCACGUUCACCACUUUAAUAAGAUUUGAUGUAUUUUGUACAAAGUAUGCCUUAUGAGGUAUCAUUUGAAAACUCACAAUCUGCUGAACAUCAUUGUCCUGUCAAAAUGUGUGUAACAACACGGUGUGUAAAGAUACGGGAUUUAACUGUAAGAUGUUAUUAAAGUAUGUCUUAAUUCUGGGGAAUGCCCAUAAUUAGUUCCUCAGAGACAACAAAGGACAGACCAACACCCAGCACGGGAGAAGGGAUAAACAAGAAAUAUACAUUUCAUCACAGGGAUGAUCCAAACCUCACUUACACAAGAGACUGCUUGUCACCUCCACCCAAGCUAGGGUAAUCCUCAAAGUGGGGAGAGGGGUAUAAAAACUGUGACCUUCACCUCCCCUCUGCCCAUCUCUCUGCUCAUGAUAUCAACGAACACCUGAAGGACUCUGAACUGGGGGAGGGGUCCCACGCUGGAAGGAGACCCAGCCUUUGAAAUUUACUGCAGCUUCUGGUGAUACAGACCUCUUUGUUUUUAAUUAUACUUAGCUUGGUCAGUUAGGUAUUAGCUUUCAUGUUUAUCUUUUAUUUUCUUUGUAACCAAUUUUUACUUUUAUGCCUUAUUACUUGUAAUCACUUAAAAUCUAUCUUUCUGUAGUUAAUAAACUUGUUUUAUCUAUACCAGUGUGUGUUUAUAUUGAAAUGUCUGGGGACCUCCGCUUGAGAUAAUAAAGCUGGUGCAUACACAUUUUCCUUUGAUGAGAUGACAGACUUUCUAUGAGCUUGUACUGUUCAGGAGGGUACUGAGCAAUACAAGAUGCACAUUUCUGGGGAACAAGGCUGGAACUAAGAAUUUGCUGGUGUUGCCCCGGAUGUAAUUCAUGAGUGGCUAACUAGUAGAACUCAAUACUAUAUCGUUUGGAUCAAGUUUUGUGCUAAUGUCUGCAAAUGAGCAGAACUAGGGAGUGGUGGCUCUUACAGCAAAGCAGUGUAAAAGCACCUUAGACUAAAGAGUCAGGGGACACAGCUGUUGAACAGUCCAGAUUGUACCUAGAGAAUGUCACACCUACUAUUGUGACAAGUAACACCUAUUUUAUAACUGAACGACGAGAGAAAGAAAUCCAUUUUUUUCUGUUUUGUUUACUGUAUACAUUUGAGAGCAUAUUGCAUAUAUCAUAUAUAGUGAGCCAUUUUCCCCAUUUGUUUCUGUGGCUUUCACACAACAACAAGGGAG